GUGCUUGUGUCAGUAGCACAUGUACUAAAAUUGGAACAAUACAGAGAAGAGUAGCAUGGCCCCUGUGUAAGGAUGACACACAAAUUCAUGAAGCAUUCCAUAUUUUU
ensembl:snRNA U6 U6 spliceosomal RNA